GUCCCCGUUCUCGCAGCCGGAGCCUCUUCGGCGCGCGCCCCGCGCUCCCCGCAGCCGCCAACAGUGGCAGCUGCAGCAACUGGAGCAGGCGCGGGCUCAAGCCGCCCGAAGCGAGAGGGGAGGAGGCUUACCAGGCUGGCCACGGCUUGGGGCUGAGUAGGGGCCGCAGGUCUUUUGGAAGUGGUCGGGCAUGCGGCCCCCCACCACUCAGGACACAGAGUAUAGCGCCCCCAGCCCAGAUGCAGGAUUUAGCAGGUGUUGCGCCCCCUUAAGCUCAGCGGGGUACCAGAAGGGAAAGCCACCAGGUGCCUGAGGAACCCCUAAUGGGGAGGGGAGGAGUGGUUGGCUGUCGGCUCCAUUCAAUGGGCUUAUUAUUGCCCCUAGAUCCUCAGGCUUGGAGACUAAGGAAGACCCUAGUGAGCACAGUACGCGUGCUGACUGAUAGUUCAUUCACACUUUCGUUUCCUAGGUGCCACAGCGUGCGUUGCUGAUGAACAGGGGCAUCUGAAAGUCUGUUGGUAGUCUAUGACCUCUGACAGCUGCAGCUCUUCUAUCAAGCCCCGUCUUGGUGACACUGUACGGAGACAGAUGGGCAGGAAGAAAACAUGCUUGAGAUGUAGGGUGUGCCUGUGCAGCACAUCCUGGGGUACCCUUUUAGUCUGGACAGCCUCAAGGAUUGUACUGGCUGUGGACAAGGGAUGGGGAAUCCUGGCUGUGUGUUAGGAGGUGGGGACCCAACAAGAAUUCCCUUCAUUGUGUUCACAUCACCACAACGGAUGAGGAUUGGUAAGAGCAAGAGACAACAGAAACAACAUCCAGAAAAGACAGCCCAGGCCAUCCAGCUUUUGUGUAUAGAGAUUCCUACAGAAUCAAACCAAAGGCAAAGUCCUGCUCCAUGAUAUGAAGCCCAUGCCUGGCACUGUGAUAGGGCUAUGAACCUACAUCUAGAUACAAUGAUGCAGAUGCACCUAUGAACUCACAGCGACUUUGACAGCAUGCAAAACACCCGAGCAAGCUCAAGCCAGACAACCCCAGCACAGAAUGGAGGAGGUUUGGGAGACACACCCACCCCUCUGAGCAUGUCUGCAAUGGUGUCCAGAGAAGACUUUCUAAGGAAGAAGGACCUACUCUGCCUGUGAACAGCACCAGUCUGUAGGCUGACUAAAAAGAAGAAAGCCAUUUUCCCCUUGAGCGGAGCACCAGCUUUGUUCUUCCUCUGUCCAGAUGGGAGAAAGACCCUGCUGCCUUCCCAUGGGUGUGAUGGGACGAGCCCUGAAUUGCAAGAGCGAAGUUAAAAGCAUCUUCUGGGGACAAGAUGUCUCUCCUCUUUGCUCCUCAGCCAGCAUCUCUGAAGAGAAGUCAUGGUCCAUUACCAAAGUGGAAAAUCUUCACAGCUGCUGCUCUGAGGAACAAUCAACUAAGAAGAAGCACAGCCCAGUGGAAGGAACCUUAAGCCAGUGGUGCAAUCCAACUCUGCCAUUCAUGAGCUGAGCCAGUCUCUCAACCUCUCCUGACUUCCUUUUCCAUAUGCACUUAGUGACAAAGGUGGAGAGGCAUAGUGACAGGGGUCUGGAUGAAAGGGUGAGGGUCCUGAGAUGACAGAAGACAGUUUUUAACAGGAAUCACUGUGAAAGGUGAUGGGCAGGUAUUGCAAAGAGUGCCUUCCAAAUGAGGCAGUCUGAGGAGAUCUGUGAGCCUGUCCUUUCACUGACCCUGUCUGACAGGCCAAGCAUAGGCUCAGGAAAACAGCAGAGGGAGAGGGUAGGGCUCUGCCAUGGAAGAGCUUACAGCAUUUCCAUCGUGGGUCAGGGAAGUGGAUAUUGAUAAUGUCAUGGGAUAUGUAGUUAAUACAGUGAAGAAGAGAGACAGUCAUCCCUCAGUGUUCAUGAAGGGCCUGCCAUUGAUCAGAACUUCCUGUGAACAUCAGAACCUUGGGUGAUGUAUCCCAUAACAAGGUGAGGAGUGUGUGUGAACAGAACCUGUAUGUUUGAACUUGCAUCUAGAGCAUUUAUUGUACCCAGACACAUGAAUGCUGUAAAAGUGAAAAGUCAA
rnacentral:sRNA from 1 species